GAAGCUUACACAUGCAAGUCGAGGGGUAACAGAUCUUCGGAUGCUGACGACCGGCGAACGGGUGAGUAACACGUAUGCAACUUACCCAUAACUCGGGAAUAGCCCAAAGAAAUUUGGAUUAAUACCCAAUAAUACAGGCGUACCGCAUGGUAUUCUUCGUUAAAGAAUAAUCGGUUAUGGAUAGGCAUGCGUUCUAUUAGGUAGUUGGUGAGGUAACGGCUCACCAAGCCGACGAUGGAUAGGGGAACUGAGAGGUUGUCCCCCCACACUGGUACUGAGACACGGACCAGACUCCUACGGGAGGCAGCAGUGAGGAAUAUUGGUCAAUGGACGAAAGUCUGAACCAGCCAAAUCGCGUGAAGGAAGAAGGUAUUAUGUAUCGUAAACUUCUUUUGUAAGAGAGUAAAGUGCACUACGUGUAGUGUAUUGCAAGUACCUUACGAAUAAGCAUCGGCUAAUUCCGUGCCAGCAGCCGCGGUAAUACGGAAGAUGCAAGUGUUAUCCGGAUUUAUUGGGUUUAAAGGGUGCGUAGGUGGUCUAAUAAGUCAGUGGUGAAAUCUCUUUGCUUAACAAGGAAAUUGCCAUUGAAACUGUUAGACUUGAGAAUGGACGAGGUAGGCGGAAUUCGUAGUGUAGCGGUGAAAUGCAUAGAUAUUACGAAGAACUCCAAUAGUGUAGACUGCUUACCAGACCAUAUCUGACACUAAGGCACGAAAGUGUGGGUAUCAAACAGGAUUAGAUACCCUGGUAGUCCACACAGUAAACGAUGAAUACUAACUGUUUGCGAUAUACAGCAAGUGGUCGAGCGAAAGCGUUAAGUAUUCCACCUGGGAAGUAUGCCGGCACGGUGAAACUCAAGGAAUUGACGGGGGCCCGCACAAGCGGAGGAACAUGUGGUUUAAUUCGAUAAUACGCGAGGAACCUUACCCGGGCUCGAACGAUAUUUGAAUACAUCCGAAAAGAUGUAGCUAGCAUAGCA
rnacentral:rRNA from 1 species